ACAAAAUGUGCGGGGAAGACAUAUGCCCAAAUGAAAGAACGGCACCAAACCAUAGCAAGAGACCCAAGCAAAAGAGAUAUAAUUAAUAUCCCUGAUAGAGAAUUUAAACUAAUGAUCAUAAAAACACUAACAGGACU